rnacentral:misc_RNA from 1 species
UAUCAGGGUCAGUGUCUAGGUGUCCU